CAGGUCUUGACAUCCUCUGACCAUCCUAGAGAUAGGACCUUCCCCUUCGGGGGACAGAGUGACAGGUGGUGCAUGGUUGUCGUCAGCUCGUGUCGUGAGAUGUUGGGUUAAGUCCCGCAACGAGCGCAACCCUUGUCCUUAGUUGCCAGCAUUCAGUUGGGCACUCUAAGGAGACUGCCGGUGACAAACCGGAGGAAGGUGGGGAUGACGUCAAAUCAUCAUGCCCCUUAUGACCUGGGCUACACACGUGCUACAAUGGAUGGUACAACGGGUUGCGAAGCCGCGAGGUGUAGCUAAUCCCAUAAAACCAUUCUCAGUUCGGAUUGUAGGCUGCAACUCGCCUACAUGAAGCCGGAAUCGCUAGUAAUCGCGGAUCAGAAUGCCGCGGUGAAUACGUUCCC
rnacentral:rRNA from 1 species